rnacentral:rRNA from 1 species
AAUAUUGGACAAUGGGGGCAACCCUGAUCCAGCAAUGCCGCGUGUGUGAAGAAGGCCUUCGGGUUGUAAAGCACUUUAGGCUGGGAGGAAGAUAUGGUGUUUAAGAGAUGCCAUGUUUGACUGUACCGGCAGAAUAAGCGCCGGCCACCUACGUGCCAGCAGCCGCGGUAAGACGUAGGGCGCGAGCGUUGUCCGGAUUUAUUGGGCGUAAAGAGCUCGUAGGCGGCUUGUCGCGUCGACUGUGAAAACCCGGGGCUCAACCUCGGGCUUGCAGUCGAUACGGGCAGGCUGGAGUUCGGUAGGGGAGACUGGAAUUCCUGGUGUAGCGGUGAAAUGCGCAGAUAUCAGGAGGAACACCGGUGGCGAAGGCGGGUCUCUGGGCCGAUACUGACGCUGAGGAGCGAAAGCGUGGGGAGCGAAC